rnacentral:rRNA from 1 species
GAGGAAUAUUGGUCAAUGGACGAGAGUCUGAACCAGCCAAGUAGCGUGAAGGAUGACUGCCCUAUGGGUUGUAAACUUCUUUUAUACGGGAAUAAAGUGAGGUACGUGUGCCUUUUUGUAUGUACCGUAUGAAUAAGGAUCGGCUAACUCCGUGCCAGCAGCCGCGGUAAUACGGAGGAUCCGAGCGUUAUCCGGAUUUAUUGGGUUUAAAGGGAGCGUAGGCGGACGCUUAAGUCAGUUGUGAAAGUUUGCGGCUCAACCGUAAAAUUGCAGUUGAUACUGGGUGUCUUGAGUACAGUAGAGGCAGGCGGAAUUCGUGGUGUAGCGGUGAAAUGCUUAGAUAUCACGAAGAACUCCGAUUGCGAAGGCAGCCUGCUGGACUGUAACUGACGCUGAUGCUCGAAAGUGUGGGUAUCAAACAGGAUUAGAUACCCUGGUAGUCCACACAGUAAACGAUGAAUACUCGCUGUUUGCGAUAUACAGUAAGCGGCCAAGCGAAAGCGUUAAGUAUUCCACCUGGGGAGUACGCCGGCAACGGUGAAACUCAAAGGAAUUGACGGGGGCCCGCACAAGCGGAGGAACAUGUGGUUUAAUUCGAUGAUACGCGAGGAACCUUACCCGGGCUUGAAUUGCAACUGAAUGAUGUGGAGACAUGUCAGCCGCAAGGCAGUUGUGAAGGUGCUGCAUGGUUGUCGUCAGCUCGUGCCGUGAGGUGUCGGCUUAAGUGCCAUAACGAGCGCAACCCUUAUCGAUAGUUACCAUCAGGUUAUGCUGGGGACUCUGUCGAGACUGCCGUCGUAAGAUGUGAGGAAGGUGGGGAUGACGUCAAAUCAGCACGGCCCUUACGUCCGGGGCUACACACGUGUUACAAUGGGGGGUACAGAAGGCAGCUACACGGCGACGUGAUGCUAAUCCCGAAAGCCUCUCUCAGUUCGGAUUGGAGUCUGCAACCCGACUCCAUGAAGCUGGAUUCGCUAGUAAUCGCGCAUCAGCCGCGGCGCGGUGAAUACGUUCCCG